UUAGGGGGCUUCAGCUUGGCCUAUCAGCGCCGGCAACCUCCAGCUCCUCGCAGGAAUAGCAGCAACAGUUGACCGGGCCCUUCCUCACUGCCACUGCCUUGGAUGCUCGUCCCCCGCAGGAAGCUGACAAGUUUGGGGUAAGGGGGAUGGAGCAAAAGGAUGGAGAAGCAACCAAGAGGGGUGAGGGGAUGUGGGAUGGAGGAGUAGUAGAAGCAGGAGCACAGCUGAGAUAUUUUGGAGGACCAUAAGUAAAAGAGGAUCGGGGGAGCAAUUUUACAGCAGAGAAAACCAAACAUAUCAAUGAGCAAAAGCAAACACUGGAACUGAUGGAAUGAUGAUGUUGUCAUUUGCACUGAUGAAACAAUUAGAACAGCAUAACCACAAAAGAAGCAAUGCUGAGACCAGCAUCAUGGCCUUGCGUAACAAACUAGCUGGAACAUCUAUAUCAGUCAGAAAGGCAACUGUCAUGUUAUUACAGCCUUGAAGGAAUGUCACUUUAAAAUAAAUGAUCUGCUUUGUCACAAGCAACACUAUGGAGGUAAAGAAAAAUACAACACCCAAUCUAAUUCAGAAAAAGCAGGGGGGAAAAUCUCCUGAUGCAGAGACAAGUCACAAAAGAAGCUUUCCCUGCUUUAUUUUUGUGUGUUUCAAGCUGUUAUUGAAAGCACAAGAGCAGGGCCAGUAGAAAAGGUGGCAGUCCUAAGGUCAGUUCAGCUACUCGGAUAAAUGCUUUUCUGUACAUGAUGCAUAAUGAAACUAGCCAAAAUGGAAAGGGAGAGAUAAAAAAUUUCAUUGCUGUUAUUUCUCCAUUAAAGAGGUGAUUCCAUCUUUUGGAUUAUAGUACUUUGCCUCUGAUGCUUUUGUGUUACUUUUGUAUAAA